CAUAUGCAUACUGUAAUAAUGUAUAUGUACAGUUGUUACAUUUUCCGGGGCAAUUAUUCUGAGGUUGUUUCAAUCGGACCUUAUUCGCGGACCGAAUUAAGGUUCACGCAACCAUGCUUUGUAGACGUUAUGAGUAAACAGUUCAUUAAUCAAUAUUCUGUAAUCAUGUACUUUUAAAAUUACCCCCCCCCCCUCCCCCCCUCCCCCCUCCUCCGCGAAUAUCAUCAAAUAAUACAGAAUUUAUUGUCAGUUGAAAUUAUGUCUUUUUCUUUUGGUGUGGUCAUAGACUAAUAACAUUUAUUACCUGGGUUGUUAUUUUUACCGCAAACAUAGCGAAAAUAAAUCCCCCGCGAAUAUUAUAAAAUAUACAGAAUUUUUGUUAACGUUGAGGUCAAGGUUACUGUUAUAACGUACACGGGUAUUUUGGUGCAAUCAUAGACUAACAUUACGGUUAUUGGCUUGUAGUAACAUAUUCAGCUUAAGUGUAGUGUGUAGAGAUUAUAGUAAGUGGAAAUCUCCAUGAAAAUGAAUUUGAUAACCGAUACUGAAUAUAUAGAAUCUUUAAUAUAAAACUACACGAUAAUCUAGGACUUGGUACUAAACCUAGGAUGUGAACAAAUGUUGAAAUAUGACAGGGUAAUUGUAUUAGCCAAAUAAAUAAUCUUUUUUUUUAAACAUUUUUUAUAUAUAUAUUUGAAUUUUGUUCUAAAGUACAUGAAACACAGGUCCAUAUUCUGAACCGAACCAAUAGCCAUCAAAGUCUUGACAAUUACCUCUUAAGGAAUUGAAGCAUGUUAAUGUUGUAGACGUGUUCCACAGGGUAGCAUAAAAAAUUGCCAAGUUGUUUAAAAGGCGAUUAGGCUAAUUGGAAUUUCUCAAAAAAUAAAAAUCCUGAUAGACAUAUAUCUGGUAGUGUUUACCUUAAUUUUACAAAAACUCUAUAGCACUCUUCAGUUCCUUCCUGCCUGCCAUUUGUACUAAUUUACCGACACGAGUUUUGAGGGAAAUGAGUAAUUAGAUUAUCACUAAUCUAAUCAUGUAAUUAAGGUCAUCACCUUUUGAUCAACUGGACAAUGUCCUUCUAUACAAUCUGAUUAUGUUCUAUGUCUCUGAUAACACUUAAAGUACUUUUUAUCAUUUGGAACGUAACAGCAAACCCUAAGUUGAGAUGGUUGGAUUUUCUCAAGAUUUAUGUGCUAACAUCACUAAUGAAACAAAAGACGCAUGCUCCUUAUGAACACAGGGUCCUACAUAUGAAAUAUUAAUAAAGCAAGUAACGCUUACUUCUCAGGAACCCAGUGUCCUACUCAACUCGAUCUAUAAAGCUAAAUACGCUCACUCUUCAGGUACACAUGUUCCUAUUUUAUAAGGAUUAUAUAAGAUCCAUGAAGAGAAAGACGCUUUCCAGUAACAUAUGGUGCUAUUGUACAAGAUCAGUGAAACAAACGACGCUCACCCUUCAGAAAUACAUGGUCUUAAUGUUAUUCUAAGUUACUUGUGUACCGCCUUGUGUUAUUGUUGUUUUUACUCAAUCGAUUGUCUUGCUACAUUUGAUUCCCUCUGUCAUAAUAAUGUUAAUAUACCUCUUUCAUUUUUGUAUUUCGUUAUAAGUCAGUCUGAUCUGUACCUAAUUAAAAUAUGUUUGAGAGACAUUAAUUCUCAUUUAGAGUACCAUAUUGUACAUUUGCUAAAUAAAGUAUUGCAAAUUACUAAUAAACAAAUAUAUAACAUAGCGAUUUUGUUUCUCUUUAUAUUAGAAGAAUAUUGCUAUUUGACAAUAACAUGAUGUGUGGCAUUUUAUGUUAAUUUAGGUUACAAUAUUUCGUUAAGACCACAGGAGCUUGACACGUUCCUAUGGCCGAAAUCAAAAUAUAAGAUUGUCUACCCCUAGAUUAUUUAUUAUUGACAAUAAUAAGUAAUUGAGGGGUCCGACCCUUGCCAGUAAGAAGUGUUUUAAGGAUCAAACCAUGGGGUUAAUUUAUUUUCUGUAUCACAAAACGUGUCAAGCCCCUGUGAUUAAAAUUGAUGCGCUCUAGAUUCUGUAGUUUCCUUAACAAUGAGUGAAUGGACUGCGGAUCCUCCAGAUUAAAAAUUUGGAAACAAAUGAUAUCGCCAUCCACGUGUAUAUCACAGAUUAACCAGGUUCUACUUGCAGUGCAAGCCGAUUUUACCUCCUGGGAGCAAUAACGGCUAUGUAAAUACGUCGGCAUUGGUGAUAUGACCAAAUAGGUCCAUUUUAUAGUGUCAUCACACUGAAAUGCCAUACGUAGACACAACGACAUGACAGCAGGCCUUGUCACAUUAUACGGUUAACAAGGCAAACUUGUCCAUAUAAUAAUAAUCCAUUCGUCAAGUAGACAUUAAUAGGAACCAAUUUGAUUAAUAAGGUCAAGAGACAAUCUACAUUCUUUAUCGCUUUGAAGGAUACGCAAUUCUAAUGUCAAAAGCGACUUAUAUCCAUGUGGGGUUUCUGAUAAUGAAUGACAAUAUGAUCACAAUAAAUUUUAAAGAAAAUAUAGACACAUAUAUUAAGCACUGGACAUUGAAGAUUCAAUUUGCUGGCUGUUUUUUGAGAUAGUUGCAGCAGGUUCAUUAGUUUAAUUAACACUGGCAUCGUGCUCAAAAUAAAUAACAAAGCACAUUAAAUUUGUAUAUUCUUAUGAAGUAUUUUAAUUAUAAUAUUUACAUUUUAUUGUAAUGACAUGUCAGUGCAUAAUCUUGAUUUAAUGAGUUGUCCUCACAUAAUAUAUACAUAUUUCCUGAAUCUAUUACCAUAUUACAUGGGGACACAUUGUACUAAUAAUCCGGUAUCAUGUUAAAUCAUGAUCAGCAUCAAAGUGUGAAUCUGGUUAAAAUAUUUCAUCAUGUAAUUAUAGCCCUUUUUUUUAGGUCGAUAGAUGUUUUAUCAACAUGAAAAAAAUAUCGACCGAGGACGAUUUAGAGCAUUCUACCAAUUUGUCAUUAUAAGAAUAUCUAAUUUUCGGCCUCUUUU